GUAUCCUCUAUGCCCUUUAGAAUGUCUUCUCCAUAUAUCAAAGAAAAACAGAAGUUUAAUGCUUGCACUUCUUCCUGCGUGGAUUGCAAGUUUGGCUCUUCUGUUACAUAU